GAUUUAGCAUAGCGGUAGAGUGCAGGCUUAGCAUGCCUGAGGCCCUGGAUUCCAUCCCCAGCAAAACA
rnacentral:tRNA from 1 species